rnacentral:piRNA from 2 species
UGGGUCCUUUGGAAGGAACUAUGCAAGAUC